AGAGUUUGAUCCUGGCUCAGGAUGAACGCUAGCUACAGGCUUAACACAUGCAAGUCGAGGGGAAACGACAUCGAAAGCUUGCUUUUGAUGGGCGUCGACCGGCGCACGGGUGAGUAACGCGUAUCCAACCUGCCCAUCACUUGGGGAUAACCUUGCGAAAGUAAGACUAAUACCCAAUGACGUCUCUAGAAGACAUCUGAAAGAGAUUAAAGAUUUAUCGGUGAUGGAUGGGGAUGCGUCUGAUUAGCUUGUUGGGCGGGUAACGGCCACCAAGGCGACGAUCAGUAGGGGUUCUGGAGAGGAAGGUCCCCCANAUUGGAACUGAGACACGGUCCAAACUCCUACGGGAGGCA
rnacentral:rRNA from 1 species